GAUGAACGCUGGCGGCGUGCCUAAUACAUGCAAGUCGAGCGAACAGACGAGGAGCUUGCUCCUCUGACGUUAGCGGCGGACGGGUGAGUAACACGUGGAUAACCUACCUAUAAGACUGGGAUAACUUCGGGAAACCGGAGCUAAUACCGGAUAACAUGUUGAACCGCAUGGUUCAACAGUGAAAGACGGUCUUGCUGUCACUUAUAGAUGGAUCCGCGCCGCAUUAGCUAGUUGGUAAGGUAACGGCUUACCAAGGCAACGAGGCGUAGCCGAGCGGAGAGGCUGAUCGCCCACACGGGAACUGAGACACGGUCCAGACUCCUACGGGAGGCAGCAGUAGGGAAUCUGCCGCAAUGGGCGAAAGCCUGACGGAGCAACGCCGCGUGAGUGAAGAAGGUCUUCGGAUCGUAAAACUCUGUUAUUAGGGAAGAACAAAUGUGUAAGUAACUAUGCACGUCUUGACGGUACCUAAUCAGAAAGCAACGGCUAACUACGUG
rnacentral:rRNA from 1 species